CGGGCCGCCUGGCCCUGGGAAAGCGUCCCACGGUGGGGGCGCGCCGGUCUCCCGGAGCGGGACCGGGUCGGAGGAUGGACGAGAAUCACGAGCGAUGUGGCCCUGGCGUUGAGUUUGUGGCUGUGGUCGCUUCGGGGCCCCGGUGGCGGGACCAGGGGCUCGUGAGAAAUACUAGGCUUUAGAAUUUCACCAUAUGAAUUUUGGGAGAGAGGAGCACAGUUCAGCCCAUAACUAACACACGACGGAAUGAAGUUGAUAAUAGUGAGACCUUGUUGGUACAAGACUAUGUAACAUAACCUGCGCUUCUCAACAAAGAAUUGCUUUUCUGACUUCUGCACUCAAUAGCAAGACAAAUCUCUCCUCUGCCUUCUCCUUAUCAGACUACUCAACAUGAAGGCAAUAAGAAUGAAGACCUCUAUGUAUAAUAAUUGACUUCCACUUAAUAAAUAAGGUUACUUGGUACACUGGUCGACAAAACCUUGAAAUGUUGAUGUUUAAGGGCUGUUGAUUGCUGGCAGCAAAGAAGUCCAACUGUGCUGGUACCCGAGAUAGCGUCUCCACAUUUUCUUCCAGGAUC
rnacentral:lncRNA from 10 species